GACGAACGCUGGCGGCGUGCCUAAUACAUGCAAGUCGAACGGACAGGCCAUGCUCUUGUGGGGUGCACGAGUGGCGAACAGGUGAGUAUAACGUGAGUACCCUGCACUUGUCUGCCGGAUAACUUCUGGAAACUGGGGCUAAUACCGGAUAGGAGCUCCUGAUGCACGUUGGGGGUUGGUAAGUUUCGGCGGUGUGGGAUGGACUCGCGGCUUACUAGCUUGUUGGUGAAGUAGUGGCUUACCAAGGUUAUGACGGGCAGCCGGCCUGGGAGGGUGACCGGCCCCAGUGGUACUAGGGUACGGCCCAGGGUCCUACGGGGGGCAACGGUGGAAAGUAUUGCACAACAGCCCGAAGCCUGGUGCAGCAGCCCCGCGUGCGGGAUGACGGCUUUCGGGGUAAGAACCGCUUUGGCCUGUGACGAAGCCAGUGUGACGGUAAUGGAUCAGAAAGCGCCGGCUAACUACGUG
rnacentral:rRNA from 1 species